AAAGGAAUAGACGGGGGCCCGCACAAGCAGCGGAGCAUGUGGUUUAAUUCGAAGCAACGCGAAGAACCUUACCAGCUCUUGACAUCCGUUGACAACCGAAGAGAUUCGGCUUUCACUACGGUGACAACGAGACAGGUGGUGCAUGGUUGUCGUCAGCUCGUGUCGUGAGAUGUUGGGUUAAGUCCCGCAACGAGCGCAACCCCUAUGAUUAGUUGCCAUCAUUAAGUUGGGCACUCUGGUCAGACUGCCCGUGAAAGCGGGAGGAAGGUGGGGAUGACGUCAAAUCAUCAUGCCCCUUACGAGCUGGGCUACACACGUGCUACAAUGGUCUGAACAAAGGGUAGCGAAGCAGCGAUGCGGAGCCAAUCUCAGAAAACAGACCUCAGUUCGGAUUGCAGGCUGCAACUCGCCUGCAUGAAGUUGGAGUUGCUAGUAAUCGUGGAUCAGCAUGCCACGGUGAAUGCGUUCCCGGGCCUUGUACACACCGCCCGU
rnacentral:rRNA from 1 species